ensembl:snoRNA LOC120095389 small nucleolar RNA SNORA70
CUGAGGCCAAUUAAACCAACUGCAUUUCUUUCCUCUCGGGGAUCUAGAGUGAAAGGGGUGCAAACAGCUGCCUCUUUUGGGACUGUGUGCAGCUUAGCACCUCUGUGGGUUGCCCUGAGGGAACUGGGUGACAGUU